AGAGUUUGAUCCUGGCUCAGAACGAACGCUGGCGGCGUGCCUAACACAUGCAAGUCGAACGGAGAUAAGGGGCUUGCUCCUUAUUUUAGUGGCGCACGGGUGAGUAACGCGUGGAUAAUCUACCUUGGAAUCUGGGAUAACAUUUCGAAAGGGGUGCUAAUACCGGAUAAGACCACGAGCUCUUUGGAGUUUGCGGUAAAAGGGGGCCUCUGUAUAUGCUUCUGUUUCAAGAUGAGUCCGCGUACCAUUAGCUAGUAGGCAGGGUAAUGGCCUACCAAGGCGACGAUGGUUAGCUGGUCUGAGAGGAUGAUCAGCCACACUGGAACUGAGACACGGUCCAGACUCCUACGGGAGGCAGCAGUGGGGAAUUUUGCGCAAUGGGGGAAACCCUGACGCAGCAACGCCGCGUGAGUGAUGAAGGCCUUCGGGUCGUAAAGC
rnacentral:rRNA from 1 species